AGAGCGAACGCUGGCGGCAGGCCUAACACAUGCAAGUCGAACGGACCCUUCGGGGUUAGUGGCGGACGGGUGAGUAACACGUGGGAACGUGCCUUUUGGUUCGGAAUAGCUCCUGGAAACGGGUGGUAAUGCCGAAUGUGCCCUUCGGGGGAAAGAUUUAUCGCCAUUAGAGCGGCCCGCGUCUGAUUAGCUAGUUGGUAAGGUAAUGGCUUACCAAGGCGACGAUCAGUAGCUGGUCUGAGAGGAUGACCAGCCACAUUGGGACUGAGACACGGCCCAAACUCCUACGGGAGGCAGCAGUGGGGAAUCUUGCGCAAUGGGCGAAAGCCUGACGCAGCCAUGCCGCGUGAAUGAUGAAGGUCUUAGGAUUGUAAAUUCUUUCACCGGGACGAUAAUGACGGUACCGGAGAAGAACGCCCGGCUAACUCGUGCCAGCCAAGCCGUC
rnacentral:rRNA from 1 species